GACGGAGGAGGCUAGCGUUGUUCGGAAUUACUGGGCGUAAAGCGCGCGCAGGCGGUUUCACAAGUCAGGGGUGAAAGCCCGGGGCUCAACCUCGGAACGGCCUUUGAGACUGUGAGACUGGAGACCGAGAGAGGAGAGUGGAAUUCCCAGUGUAGAGGUGAAAUUCGUAGAUAUUGGGAAGAACACCAGUGGCGAAGGCGGCUCUCUGGCUCGGCACUGACGCUCAUGCGCGAAAGCGUGGGGAGCAAACAGGAUUAGAUACCCCAGU
rnacentral:rRNA from 1 species